rnacentral:rRNA from 1 species
UACAGAGGUCUCAAGCGUUGUUCGGAUUCAUUGGGCGUAAAGGGUGCGUAGGUGGCGUCGUAAGUCAGGUGUGAAAUCUCGGGGCUUAACUCCGAAACUGCAUUUGAUACUGCGGUGCUUGAGGACUGGAGAGGAGACUGGAAUUUACGGUGUAGCAGUGAAAUGCGUAGAGAUCGUAAGGAAGACCAGUGGCGAAGGCGGGUCUCUGGACAGUUCCUAACGCUGAGGCACGAAGGCCAGGGGAGCAAACGGG